rnacentral:piRNA from 1 species
UGUCUAACGUGGGCCAACCACCCUAUAAGC